rnacentral:rRNA from 1 species
GACAGAGGCCUCGAGCGUUAGGCGGAAUCACUGGGCUUAAAGCGUGUGUAGGCGGGCCCGUAAGUGUCUUGUGAAAUCCCACGGCUCAACCGUGGAACUGCUGGGCAUACUGCGGGUCUUGGGCCAACUAGGGGCAGCCGGAACAAGCGGUGGAGCGGUGAAAUGCGUAGAUACUGGGAGGAACACCGGUGGCGAAGGCGGCUACCUGGACCGGAACUGACGCUGAGGCGCGAAAGCGUGGGUAGCAAACAGG